UGUGUGUGUGUGUGUGUGUGUGUGGUGUGUGUGUGUGUGUACAGUUGAAACAGCUAAGACUCUUCUGCCUGGGGAAAAGACGGGAGAGGUAUUCAGUAAUAUACGUCUGGAAGAUCCUCGAAGGAAUUAUGCCAACUUUUGGCAUUGAAAGCUACAACAAUGCUAGAACGGGACGACACUGCAUAGUGCCAAAGAACGCAGUAACGC